rnacentral:rRNA from 1 species
GCGAGCGAACCGGCAUAGCUCAAAUUUGAAAUCUGGCGAAAGCCCGAGUUGUAAUUUGUAGAGGAUGCUUUUGGCAGAGCCGCGGGUUCAAGUGCCCUGGAAUGGGUUGCCAUCAUAGAGGGUGAGAGUCCCGUAUGUCGGCUCGCGGUAGACGCCAGUCAAAGCUCCUUCGACGAGUCGAGUUGUUUGGGAAUGCAGCUCUAAUUGGGAGGUAAAUUCCUUCUAAAGCUAAAUAUGGGCCAGAGACCGAUAGCGAACAAGUAGAGUGAUCGAAAGAUGAAAAGUACAGUGAAAACUGGGUGAAAUAGUACGUGAAAUUGUUGAAAGGGAAGCGCUUGCAAUCAGACAUUGCAGCAACGGGCUGAACCUUGUGUUCAUAAGUUGCUUGUGGGCUAGCAUCAGUUUGAGUGGUGGUAGAAAGGCGAGGGGAAUGUGGCUCGGGUGGGUUUGCGCCCAGAUCGAGUGUUUAUAGCCCCUCGCGCCAUGCCACCUACCUAGACUGAGGGUUUGCGCGGGGUUUCCCCGCAAGGAUGCUGGCGUAAUGGUUGUAAGCGGCCCGUCUUGAAACACGGACCAAGGAGUCUAACAUCUGCGCGAGUGUUUAGGUGUCAAGCCUAUGCGCGUAAUGAAAGUAAACGUAGGUGGGAAACCAUCGGUCCUCGCGGACUGAGGUGGCACCAUCGACCGAUCCGGAUGUUUUCGGAUGGAUUUGAGUAAGAGCGCAGCUGUUGGGACCCGAAAGAUGGUGAACUAUGCCUGUGUAG